UCCAACAGGGAUUGCCCUAGUAACGGCGAGUGAAGCGGCAACAGCUCAAAUUUGAAAUCUGGCUCUUUCAGAGUCCGAGUUGUAAUUUGCAGAGGGCGCUUUGGCUUUGGCAGCGGUCCAAGUUCCUUGGAACAGGACGUCACAGAGGGUGAGAAUCCCGUACGUGGUCGCUAGCUAUUGCCGUGUAAAGCCCCUUCGACGAGUCGAGUUGUUUGGGAAUGCAGCUCUAAAUGGGAGGUAAAUUUCUUCUAAAGCUAAAUAUUGGCCAGAGACCGAUAGCGCACAAGUAGAGUGAUCGAAAGAUGAAAAGCACUUUGGAAAGAGAGUCAAACAGCACGUGAAAUUGUUGAAAGGGAAGCGCUUGCAGCCAGACUUGCUUGCAGUUGCUCAUCCGGGCUUUUGCCCGGUGCACUCUUCUGUAGGCAGGCCAGCAUCAGUUUGGGCGGUGGGAUAAAGGUCUCUGUCACGUACCUCUCUUCGGGGAGGCCUUAUAGGGGAGACGACAUACCACCAGCCUAGACUGAGGUCCGCGCAUCUGCUAGGAUGCUGGCGUAAUGGCUGUAAGCGGCCCGUCUUGAAACACGGACCAAGGAGUCUAACAUCUAUGCGAGUGUUUGGGUGUCAAGCCCGAGCGCGUAAUGAAAGUGAACGGAGGUGGGAACCCGCAAGGGUGCACCAUCGACCGAUCCUGAAGUUUACGGAAGGAUUUGAGUAAGAGCAUGGCUGUUGGGACCCGAAAGAUGGUGAACUAUGCUUGAAUAGGGUGAAGCCAGAGGAAACUCUGGUGGAGGCUCGCAGCGGUUCUGACGUGCAAAUCGAUCGUCAAAUUUGGGCAUAGGGGCGAAAGACUAAUCGAACUAUCUAGUAGCUGGUUCCUGCCGAAGU
rnacentral:rRNA from 1 species